UGGGGAAUAUUGGACAAUGGGCGAAAGCCUGAUCCAGCCAUGCCGCGUGAGUGAUGAAGGCCUUAGGGUUGUAAAGCUCUUUUGCCAGGGAAGAUGAUGACUGUACCUGGAGAAUAAGCCCCGGCUAACUUCGUGCCAGCAGCCGCGGUAAUACGAAGGGGGCUAGCGUUGUUCGGAAUUACUGGGCGCAAAGGGCGCGUAGGCGGCCGUUUAAGUUAGGUGUGAAAGUCCUGGGCUCAACCUGGGGACUGCACUUAAUACUGGAUGGCUUGAAUUCGGGAGAGGAUAGCGGAAUUCCCAGUGUAGAGGUGAAAUUCGUAGAUAUUGGGAAGAACACCGGUGGCGAAGGCGGCUAUCUGGACCGACAUUGACGCUGAGGCGCGAAAGCGUGGGGAGCAAA
rnacentral:rRNA from 1 species